rnacentral:rRNA from 1 species
GAUGAACGCUGGCGGCGUGCCUAAUACAUGCAAGUCGAGCGAAUGGAUUAAGAGCUUGCUCUUAUGAAGUUAGCGGCGGACGGGUGAGUAACACGUGGGUAACCUGCCCAUAAGACUGGGAUAACUCCGGGAAACCGGGGCUAAUACCGGCUAACAUUUUGAACCGCAUGGUUCGAAAUUGAAAGGCGGCUUCGCCUGUCACUUAUGGCUGGACCCGCGUCGCAUUAGCUAGUUGGUGAGGUAACGGCUCACCAAGGCAACGAUGCGUAGCCGACCUGAGAGGGUGAUCGGCCACACUGGGACUGAGACACGGCCCAGACUCCUACGGGAGGCAGCAGUAGGGAAUCUUCCGCAAUGGACGAAAGUCUGACGGAGCAACGCCGCGUGAGUGAUGAAGGCUUUCGGGUCGUAAAACUCUGUUGUUAGGGAAGAACAAGUGCUAGUUGAAUAAGCUGGCACCUUGACGGUACCUAACCAGAAAGCCACGGCUAACUACGUGCCAGCCGCCGCGGUAA